rnacentral:rRNA from 1 species
GCGGUGAGGGAUGAAGGCUCGGGUUGUAAACUCUUCACAGGAAUAAGCGAAAGUGAAAGUACCUGCAGAAGAAGCACCGGCUAACUAUGUGCCAGCAGCCGCGGUAAUACAUAGGGUGCAAGCGUUGUCCGGAAUUAUUGGGCGUAAAGAGCUCGUAGGUGGUCGAUCACGUCGGAUGUGAAAAUCUGAGGCUUAACCUCAGACCUGCAUUCGAUACGGGUUGACUAGAGUGUGGUAGGGGAGACUGGAAUUCCUGGUGUAACGGUGGAAUGCGCAGAUAUCAGGAGGAACACCGAUGGCGAAAGGCAGGUCUCUGGGGCA